CCUACGGGUGGCAGCAGUGAGGAAUAUUGGGCAAUGGGGGCAACCCUGACCCAGCCAUGCCGCGUGCGUGAAGAAGGCCUUCGGAUUGUAAAGCUCUUUCGGACGUGACGAUGAUGACGGUAGCGUCUAAAGAAGCCCUGGCCAACUUCGUGCCAGCAGCCGCGGUAAUACGGAGGGUGCGAGCGUGGUUAGGAAUUACUGGGCGUAAAGGGAGUGUAGGCGGAUUUGUAAGAUAGCGGUGAAAUGCCGGGGCUCAACCCGGGAACUGCAGUUGUGACUGGGUAUCUAGAGUAACGGAGAGGAUGGCGGAAUACCCAGUGUAGCGGUGAAAUGCGUAGAUAUUGGGAAGAACACCGGUGGCGAAGGCGGCUAUCUGGCCAUUUACUGACGCUGAGGCUCGAAAGCGUGGGGAUCAAACAGGAUUAGAUACCCCAGUAGUC
rnacentral:rRNA from 1 species